rnacentral:rRNA from 1 species
GAGCGACGCAUGCCGGAGGGGAACCCACUGGUAUGACGGAGCGGCGAACGGGUGAGUAACACGUGAGCAACCUGCCCCGCAGACCGGGAUAGCCCAGGGAAACCUGGAUUAAUACCGGAUGCCCUCGGGAGAUCGCAUGAUUCUCCGAGGAAAAGCUUUUGCGCUGUGGGAUGGGCUCGCGACCUAUCAGCUAGUUGGUGGGGUAAAGGCCUACCAAGGCAUCGACGGGUAGCUGGUCUGAGAGGACGAUCAGCCACACUGGGACUGAGACACGGCCCAGACUCCUACGGGAGGCAGCAGCAGGGAAUCUUGCGCAAUGGGCGAAAGCCUGACGCAGCAACGCCGCGUGGGGGAUGAAGGCCUUCGGGUUGUAAACCCCUUUCAGGAGGGAAGAAAUUGACGGUACCUCCAGAAGAAGGACCGGCCAACUACGUGCCAGCAGCCGCGGUAAUACGUAGGGUCCAAGCGUUAUCCGGAAUCAUUGGGCGUAAAGAGCUCGUAGGCGGUUCAACAAGUCGGCUGUGAAAGUCCGAGGCUCAACCUCGGAAUUGCAGUCGAUACUGUUGUGACUCGAGUCCGGUAGAGGAGAAUGGAAUUCCCGGUGUAGCGGUGAAAUGCGCAGAUAUCGGGAGGAACACCAGUAGCGAAGGCGGUUCUCUGGGCCGGCACUGACGCUGAGGAGCGAAAGCG